CGCGCCUUUUCUACCGGGACUUUGACGUCACGCCGUUCCGUUCCUGAUUAUUGGCUGUUCGGAGUCUUGAUAUACGCGGUACACUCUGUGUCGAAUUGUUGCAGGGAUUUUGAUGUCAGCUGGACCGAGAUUUGAUGAUUCUUCCGAUGAGGUGUGAGAGCGGAAACCAAUAACAACUUCCUCAUCAUGACACUGCUCUUCUGACAAGACUGAUGCUGAGUUCAGAUGGACGAGAGGAACGAGUGUUAUAUUGCCAAAGAAUCAGUGGUCUGGUGGUGACGGCCAAGAUGGAGCUGUCCUCCUUCAAUUCACACUCAUCUCCUCUGUCUCAAGGGUGUGAAAUGAUAAGCUCCGAGGACUCGCUCAUUCACAUUUUACAAGACUCCAGUUUCCACACAGUUCAGAGAUGCCAACAGCCGACGCUCCCUGUGUUACAUGGGUUGCUUGGAAACCAGCUCAUUGGGAGCAUGUAGUGCAACACACAGAGGCACAUGAUGCAGUGUGUAGAGGAAAACAGGCGCCCAAAGCCCACGUGUGGACAGCAUCCUCCCGACGCUCAUGAAGAUGUCCCACGUACUUCAGUUCAGUCAGCGUCUGCUGGAUUUUUACAAUGCUGGAUCUUGUUGGCAACAAGAGCAUCAUUGUGUGAUGAAGAAUGUAGACUGAGAUGAUCAUUCAAAUAAUUUAUUGCACUCAAGAAUUAUUUGGGUAUAAUUUUAAGAUGUAUUUGAAUAGCAUUUAAAAUUCCCAUCCAUUUGGACACAGUUUUAACAUAUACAACCGAAUAAACUUGUGAUGCAUACUUGUCAGUUAUGCAUGAAUAAAGCAAAGAAAGAGUUAAUAUUUCUGCACUCAUAUUACCUGUUUCCAACUGUUUGAUUUUAUCUAAAUGAUCCUAUUUUCAAAAUUCAUUUAUUCAAAUGGUUAGAAUUUGCAUAAAUUUGUUCAUUGUAAAAAGCAAUUAAGUUUUUCCACUUAAAAAGUAUUAACAAAAUGUUAAACAUAUGAAUGUUAAAAUAUGGCUAGUUGUCAGAACAGGCAAUAAUCAAUUAGUUUAAAUGUUGAAACAGAUUUGAUUUGUCGAUGAUAAUAUGUAAACCCAGUUGUGGAUUUAUUUAUUGUGUAUUACAGAAAUCUGACCUGUUUCAUUUAUUUGUGACUGAUAAAUUUGCAUUACAUUGUUAAUUAGUUAAUGUUAAAUGUUAAUAAAGAUAAAUCAGAUUUUUGCAGUUGAAACACAUAAAUCCCCCCCAAAAAUAUUUUUAUAUUUAAUUUAAUUUAAUUUAAUUUAAUUUAAUUUAAUUUAAUUUAAUUUAAUUUAAUUUAAUUUAAUUUAAUUUAAUUUUAAUAAGUGACAAUUCAAAGAAAAAGUGUUCCCAGACAUUGUGUGGCAUUUAAUACGUUUGAUUGAUUAAUUGUGUAUAUAUUUAUGUAUUUAUUUAUUUCUAUUUUAUUUAUUUUCAUGUAGUUAAAUGUCAUGCUAUACAGUGUUUUUGAUUGUUACAUGAACUAGUGUUUUUUGGUAUUUUUAAUUGAUGUAAGUUUUCUCGCUUUCAUUGUGUCACUCUUAACCAAACCUUCAUUAUCUUUUCUUCGGAAAGGAGAUUGUCAGCUGAGUCACCUUAAAAUAGUUUCUCAUGAUAACUUUGCGAAUCAGUUCAACUGAAUCGUUCAGUUCAAAAAGGAGGUUUUGUUCACAAAUCAUUCCUCACUAGUCUAUUUUGACCUUCCAACCACUCAGACCUGUGAAAAUGUGUCAUUAACUUUUAAGAAAGUCUGGACACUCAAACAAACUUCGGUGUGCUUACAGGUUCACUCAGUCCCUCCAGUCGCAGCGUCCCGUGGACGGAUCAGAAAUGUCAUCUGCUUGUCUCAAUUUGUGGAGUUUGGACUGUUGCCGGCCUCACGUCCUCCAGCUCAAAGGAUAAAGCCGGAUCAAGAUCACAUCCCUUCUAGGAUCCACGGGCUCGAGGAGGAUACAGACACUUCCUUCCCGCUCCACAUCCAGUGCAAAAAACAAAUAAAUAAAAAGUUGACAAAUUAUUAAAGGUGAAAGUAACAUGGUUCUUUUUUUUGAAGUUUGAGCACUUUGUUUGUUGUAAGUGGGUUCCUGUGAGUUUGCAUCUGUUGACUCAUGUAUCAUGGCUUUCCAUUAACUAAAAGCAAUACGAUUCGGGUAUUUCUUCAUCCUCUUGGGAAAAAGCAGUCCUAUUUAUUUCAACAACCAUCUAAUUCACCAUUCCAUUGUUAUGUCUUUAUGUUUCAUGCAUCCUAUUAUUUUAUUGCAUCUGUAUAUUUGUGUGCUUGUCGUAAUUACAUCCAUAACUAAAUCUCCACUUCGAGCAAGUUCUAGCUCCCUCUUUUAAUCGAAGGAUGCUCUGUAAUCAGAUUUGACGAGACGUUUUCCUAAUGAUGUUUACUUCAAACGGGUUCUAGUGGCUCCGAAAUGACUCAUAAUGAUCCUUGGCAGUAAGAUAUAUUAUAGAGGAAACUGAGACUUUAAAAAGCCAUUUCAGAGAAUGGUCUUUCUGUAUUAAUCAGUGAGAUUGUUAAAGCAUAGCUUCCAGAGAAAUGAGCUGUCAGUCGUCCACUCCUGAGCACUAAUGGUGAACGCUGCUGUAUGAAGUGCUCAAAGUGUGUUGUUCUAAAGAGCCGUUCCCUUCAUUUAGCUUGUCUCAUUAAGACAGUUUAAUAUGUUUUUGUUUCUCUCAUUUAUAUUCAGGGUUUUUUUUGUGCACAGACUGAUGGGUCUGUCUUCUCUUCGGCUGUGGCCUUGGAAAGCUGUAGGAGGAUCUACCAAAAGAUCUUUGAGGAAGCUUGUUAUGAAAAAUGAUUGUACAUAUCAGAAAUGCUGUACUGGUUAAUAUCACAUAGACUCUUUUAUUUCUGGUUUUAACAUCUGUUGAUGCAUCUCCUGUGAUUUUAAGGGACACUGAUUUCAUAACUAUACAUUAGUCACUGUGCAUGUUGAUAAAGCACACAAAUUUCCACAGUUGCUCCCAAAUGUACUUUUUAUCCCACUUUCUAACAUGAUGUUACAAGCAACGCUCAUUUAAAUGCAUUAACCUGCAUUUACGACUGCGUAGUAUGAUUUUAAUUAGUAGGAUUGUUUUAAUUAUGUAGAAAUCAUUGAAACAACAAGGAUUUUCUUG